GAUUUGGGGGAAACCUCUGUUCAGAAUCAGGAACAGAAGUUGGAGCUCAGGAUGACCUUCACAAUGGCCUGGUCCUGUCUCCUCUUCACAUUCCUUGUUCAGUGCACAGGGUCCUGGUCCCAGUCUGUGCUGACUCAGCAGCCCACAAUGUCUGGGACUCCAGGAGUGACAGUCACCAUCUCCUGCACUGGAAGCAGCACAAAUAUUGGGAAUAGCUAUAAUGUGCACUGGUACCAACAGCUCCCAGAAACGGCCCCCAAACUCCUCAUCUAUAGUAAUAGUAAUCGACCCUCAGGGGUCCCUGAUCACUUCUCUGGCUCUAAAUCUGGCAACUCUGGCUCACUGACCAUCAAUAGGCUACAGCCUGAGGAUGAGGCUGACUAUUUCUGUCAGUCUUAUGACAGUAGCCUCAGUUCUCGCACAGUGCUUCAGGUUCAUGGGGAA